rnacentral:rRNA from 1 species
CCUACGGGGCGCAGCAGUAGGGAAUCUUCCACAAUGGGCGAAAGCCUGAUGGAGCAACGCCGCGGGGGUGAAUAAGGUCUUCGGAUCGUAAAACCCUGUUGUUAGAGAAGAAAGUGCGUGAGAGUAACUGUUCACGUUUCGACGGUAUCUAACCAGAAAGCCACGGCUAACUACUGACCAGCAGCCGCGGUAAUACGUAGGUGGCAAGCUUUAUCCGGAUUUAUUGGGCGUAAAGGGAACGCAGGCGGUCUUUUAAGUCUGAUGUGAAAGCCUUCGGCUUAACCGGAGUAGUGCAUUGGAAACUGGGAGACUUGAGUGCAGAAGAGGAGAGUGGAACUCCAUGUGUAGCGGUGAAAGGCGUAGAUAUAUGGAAGAACACCAGUGGCGAAAGCGGCUCUCUGGUCUGUAACUGACGCUGAGGUUCGAAAGCGUGGGUAGCAAACAGGAUUAGAUACCCGGGUAGUC